rnacentral:tRNA from 1 species
GCCGGCUUAGCUCAAUUGGUAGAGCAACUGACCUGUAAUCAGUAGGUUGUCAGUUCAAGCCCGACAGCCGGCA